GACAAACGCUGGCGGCGUGCUUAACACAUGCAAGUCGAACGGUAAGGCCCUUCGGGGUACACGAGUGGCGAACGGGUGAGUAACACGUGGGUGAUCUGCCCCGCACUUCGGGAUAAGCCUGGGAAACUGGGUCUAAUACCGGAUGGGACUCCUGGCUUCAUGGUUGGGGGGGGAAAGCUGUUGCGGUGUGGGAUGGGCCCGGGGCCUAUCAGCUUGUUGGUGGGGUAAUGGCCUACCAAGGCGACGACGGGUAGCCGGCCUGAGAGGGUGACCGGUCACACUGGGACUGAGAUACGGCCCAGACUCCUACGGGAGGCAGCAGUGGGGAAUAUUGCACAAUGGGCGCAAGCCUGAUGCAGCGACGCCGCGUGAGGGAUGACGGCCUUCGGGUUGUAAACCUCUUUCAGCUAUGACGAAGCGCAAGUGACGGUAGUAGCAGAAGAAGGACCGGCCAACUACGUGCCAGCCGCCGCAGUAA
rnacentral:rRNA from 1 species